GCUGAGGGAGUAAGAAAAAAGAAGAAGAAACAACAGAAAAAACAAAAGAAAAGAAAAUUAAUUAAAGGGAACAAAAAAAUUGGGGGAGAAAAGUCAAAAAGAAAAAGAAAAGUAAGUUUUUUUUUAAAUUUUUUAUAUUAUGACAUCAUCAUGACAUCAUUUAUGUCACGUAUCACAAUAUUAUUCCGUUACCUGUCUUGAACUUAAUGACGUUAGGCUCAAGUAUCAAUUAGGGGUGUUCAAUUGGUUAAC
rnacentral:lncRNA from 1 species